CGAGCGAGUGGCGAACGGGUGAGUAACGCGUGAGGAACCUGCCUCAAAGAGGGGGACAACAGUUGGAAACGACUGCUAAUACCGCAUAAGCCCACGGUGCCGCAUGGCACAGGGGGAAAAGGAGCAAUCCGCUUUGAGAUGGCCUCGCGUCCGAUUAGCUAGUUGGUGAGGUAAUGGCCCACCAAGGCGACGAUCGGUAGCCGGACUGAGAGGUUGAACGGCCACAUUGGGACUGAGACACGGCCCAGACUCCUACGGGAGGCAGCAGUGGGGAAUAUUGCACAAUGGGGGAAACCCUGAUGCAGCGACGCCGCGUGGAGGAAGAAGGUCUUCGGAUUGUAAACUCCUGUUGUUGAGGAAGAUAAUGACGGUACUCAACAAGGAAGUGACGGCUAACUACGUGCCAGCAGCCGCGGUAAAACGUAGGUCACAAGCGUUGUCCGGAAUUACUGGGUGUAAAGGGAGCGCAGGCGGGAAGGCAAGUUGGAAGUGAAAUCUAUGGGCUCAACCCAUAAACUGCUUUCAAAACUGUUUUUCUUGAGUAGUGCAGAGGUAGGUGGAAUUCCCGGUGUAGCGGUGGAAUGCGUAGAUAUCGGGAGGAACACCAGUGGCGAAGGCGGCCUACUGGGCACCAACUGACGCUGAGGCUCGAAAGUGUGGGUAGCAAACAGGAUUAGAUACCCUGGUAGUCCACACCGUAAACGAUGAUUACUAGGUGUUGGGGGAUUGACCCCUUCAGUGCCGCAGUUAACACAAUAAGUAAUCCACCUGGGGAGUACGACCGCAAGGUUGAAACUCAAAGGAAUUGACGGGGGCCCGCACAAGCAGUGGAGUAUGUGGUUUAAUUCGACGCAACGCGAAGAACCUUACCAAGUCUUGACAUCCCUUGACGAACAUAGAAAUAUGUUUUCUCUUCGGAGCAAGGAGACAGGUGGUGCAUGGUUGUCGUCAGCUCGUGUCGUGAGGUGUUGGGUUAAGUCCCGCAACGAGCGCAACCCUUAUGGUCAGUUACUACGCAAGAGGACUCUGGCCAGACUGCCGUUGACAAAACGGAGGAAGGUGGGGAUGACGUCAAAUCAUCAUGCCCUUUAUGACUUGGGCUACACACGUACUACAAUGGCGUUAAACAAAGAGAAGCAAGACCGCGAGGUGGAGCAAAACUCAGAAACAACGUCCCAGUUCGGACUGCAGGCUGCAACUCGCCUGCACGAAGUCGGAAUUGCUAGUAAUCGCAGAUCAGCAUGCUGCGGUGAAUACGUUCCCGGGCCUUGU
rnacentral:rRNA from 1 species